rnacentral:ncRNA from 2 species
CUAUAAUCAAAAGCGCCAGGACUAUUCUUCGGACGGAUAGGAAGGAUAGUUGACGAGGUAGGAGGUUAUCGAAUUUUCGGCGGGUGCCUCCCGGCUGUCAUCACAGUCGAAACUUUAUCACUAAAACAGUAGGGUGACCUAUUGCACAAAAGGAUAAAGAAAGAUGUCU